ensembl:snoRNA
UCGCACUGUUCGUAACCUCUUGACAGUAUAUUCCUGUGAAUAGGUUCCAUUCCAGUGCUACAUGAAAUCCAAUAAUGGAAGGCUGACAAAUUCUGUGUCUCUUCUGUAUUUGGAAACAAAU